GUGUUGUUAGGAAAGAAGAUGUUAGCACUUCUCUUGCCAAGAAUGGAAGAGCCCUUGGGUUGUUCAACAAAUAUAUGAUUAGGGAUUGCCACCUACUUCAUGGCAUCAUCCAUAGUAUUAU